GGGCACUUUGCAGACCAGUUGAAGAGACAAACAUGUGGCAUGCGAGGUUAAAUAGUAACCCAAGCCGGCAGGUGGUUUAGAAAAAAUGCUGGAGAAGUCGCUGGCGGCCUAGUACGUUAAGGAUCUGGUGGUGUCACUGCUGUGGCUUGGGUUGCUGCUAUGGUGCUGGUUCAAUCCCUGGCCCUGGAAUUUCUGCAUGCUACAGGGAAAUUCCUUGCCACCGGACCGCACCCGCCCUUGAGGACCUCCCCGAUGUCUUUGGGCAGAGAGGAAGCCAGACGGAGCUGGGGACUGUGAAGUGACAAUCCUCAGCCCUGUGUGUGCCGGGAGCCCCCCGAGGGCUGCAGAGGAAGCCUGGUGUGGGCUUGCUGGGGACAGAGCUCUUCUCAGAGGAGGCGGGGACCCGUGGAGUACGUGACUCCUGCCCUUCCAGCCUGCACGCUCCAGUUAGCAGGACAGGGACCCCUCCCCACCCAUCCCCAAUCUUCACAGGCUUCCUGCUCUGCCGGGAGGCCCUGUCACCACGCUCACACGCGCGCGCACACACACACACACACACACACACACACACACACACACACACACUCACCCUUCCCUCCUAGGCACCCCUGAGAGGACCAGCUGCAGCUGGGGGUGGGGGUAGGGAGAGUGCUGCCAGGGUGCUCAGAUCCAGCCUCUUUCUCCCACCGCUGCCUCCCCCCCAGCUGCUGAGCAGCUUCUAGGUUUAAAGCAAAACACCAUGAUUCCCGUCCUCUUCCUGCUGCUCCGCCGGCACAGUGCACAGGGGUUAUUUUUAGCAGGGAUGCAGGGAAGGCACAUUGGUCCUGGACUUUCACUGGGGACAUCUCGACCCCAGGCUAGACACGGCCUGGGGAGGCCGGCGCGGAAAACCCCCCUCCCAGAAAGGGGAAACGGGUGUGUUUUCUGUUCCUUCAAAUCACCAGAACAGGAGUUGCAGAGUCAAGCUUGAGGUUACACUGAUGGGAAGUUCUAGGCUCCAAAGUUCACAGGCUACCCUCUUCCCUGGUCUCUGUGUCCCCGUAAAUCUGGGGAGCAGGAGGUGCCUGGAGUCGUGAGGCGCAGUGCGUGGGUAUUGGGGUCCAAGGAGAGCUGAUCGUUGACAGCCCUGUGGACCACACGCAGGCACCAGGCAUUCUGGGUGGUAUUUAUGCCAGUACUUGCUUUAUAAUUCAUUAAACUGACCGUGUCUGUUCUGUG
rnacentral:lncRNA from 1 species